rnacentral:rRNA from 1 species
UACCAGCACCCCGAGUGGUCGGGACGUCUAUUGGGCCUAAAGCGUCCGUAGCCGGUUCUACAAGUCUUCCGUUAAAUCCAACUGCUUAACAGGUGGGCUGCGGAAGAUACUAUAGAGCUAGGAGGCGGGAGAGGCAAGCGGUACUCGAUGGGUAGGGGUAAAAUCCGUUGAUCCAUUGAAGACCACCAGUGGCGAAGGCGGCUUGCCAGAACGCGCUCGACGGUGAGGGAUGAAAGCUGGGGGAGCAAACCGG